rnacentral:rRNA from 1 species
GACAGAGGGUGCAAACGUUGUUCGGAAUUACUGGGCGUAAAGCGCGUGUAGGCGGCUGCGCAAGUCGGAUGUGAAAGCCCUCGGCUCAACCGAGGAAGUGCAUUCGAAACUGCGCAGCUAGAGUCCCGGAGAGGAUAGUGGAAUUCUCGGUGUAGAGGUGAAAUUCGUAGAUAUCGAGAGGAACACCGGUGGCGAAGGCGGCUAUCUGGACGAGGACUGACGCUGAGACGCGAAAGCGUGGGGAGCAAACAGG